AGGUCUAUCGCCAAGCGGUAAGGCAACGGGUUUUGAUCCCGUCAUUCCAUGGUUCGAAUCCAUGUAGACCUGCCA
rnacentral:tRNA from 1 species